GCCGCCAUCCCCGCCCCCGCCUCCGUUCUCUUCUACCAGGUCUCCCCUCGUCCAUGUUGAAGCCAUGACCUCCUCUCCCCAUUCAGCCCGGUGGCGCCACUCUUCCAUGUGCGUCUCCAUCGCCUGACGCCGCCUCGUUUGAAGGUCGCGGCCGCUGUCUCCGAUGAAGCCCGCCGCCUCCCGUAUAGGACUGCACCACCUCCCCCUCCAGAGCCAUGUUCUCUCCCGUCCAGGUCCCUAUCGCCAUCUUCCCUUUCCAAGAUCUGAGAUUGACGAUGAGGCGAAGGUUCCGUUCCGCAUCGUGUUUCAUAGGCGCUCAUGAUCCCCUCCAUGGUACGUAGUGAUGCCAUUCCUUUCCCCACCCUAUUUUUAUAACCAGCAAAGUAAUUAUGUCGCUUCCACUAAAAUAGGUUUGAUGAAGGUCAAUUUAGUAUAAAUUCGGCUGACAUUUAAUUUGGAUCAGAUAACUCUUCGAUUUAAUGAUGUAUUUUUCAAAUUGUAUAUGUAUGGUUUGUCAAAAAAAGUAUGUUCCAGCUAGCUUCAUAAUGGAGGAACCAACAAAUUUGGACUCAUGGUUCAGCAUCAGGGAGAAGGAAAACGUCAAAGCUUCACUUACGGAAGAUUGCAGGUAUAGGUCCUUGCAGUUAUGGUGUGCUCCACCAUCUACAUGCGGGAAAGGCGGAUAAGCAGCCAGAGGGAGAUGAGAUAAAAGAAAGCCAGAAUUGGUUCAACUUGCGACGACCCCAUCUACGCACAGCAGGUUGUAGUCCCACACCUGUCUAAUGGGAUCAAGCGAGUGUGUCCGUUACAAUUCCCAACACUAAGAGUUCAACAGUUCUUGAGUUUGCAAUUUGGAGGAGGAACUCAUGGGGAGAGAAAACGAGGAUUUAAAAGACAAGAGGGAGAUCUUAUGGGAUAUUUCAAGUUUCAACUUGUUACCAAAUGUAUUAUCCCACAAAAAGCUGCACUUCAGGUUUGAUCUUCUAUCAUUCUAUUCAUACUUCAGUAGUGCUCGUGUUCUCUUGCUGUCGAGAUAAGGCUGUGUGCCUAGCGUAUGUCUUGGUUGUAAGCUCUAUGUUAGGUGUAGAACUUUCUUGAUUUAUUUGGUGAUUUUUCUUUGUUGUAGGUCAUAAACGAUUAUUAUGAUUUCUUUUUCAUUUAAAGAGUUCACACCAGACAAUUUAGCUAUUUGACCAUUUUUACAAGAAUUUGUGCCUGAUGAUGUUAUAGCAAUUUAGCUUAUUCCAAUCAGAGGCAUUGUGAUCUCCACUCUCAUGCAAGACCGAAUUGUUUGAAAUAAUGCAUGGAGCUUUGGGUGAAGAAGAGAAGGGGUAUCCAACGAGAGCUGUUCUCCUAAGUGAUCUGAGUUUGUCAUGUACUUGGAAUCAAGUUGGAUAAAAACUAAUAUUGUUGAUUGGCAGUUCUGAUUUUUUUUAAUCAUCAUGCAGGGUUAGAAAUUUCCAAUUUCUUGAAAACAACCUGAGGCACAACUAUAUUGUUAUAUACAGAAUCAGGUCUAAUAGUCAAUGUGAUGGAAGAAUUUAUAAUUGUGUUGUCAUCCGCAAAUAUGACCCGGCUUCUUCUGUUUCGUUGUGCUACUGCAGAGUGUGUGGUGCAGGAGAAUAUUGGCUUUCUAUGGGAGAUGGGAGUUCCAAAUAUGGGGUCUAGGCAGCCGACGGCUUGAGUGUGAUCCUGCAGCCGUCUAUAGAAUUCCUUUUUUAUGCGAAUGACUAAUAUACUGCAAUCCAAGCUCUUUUCCAGGUUUUAACAUUCAAAAUUAAGCAAAGGUGUAUUAUUUUGUUCUUACAUUUGACAUUGAAUAAGUCCAGCAUAUAAAUCUCUUAUUUUAUGCACGUGAAAUUCAAACAAUAGUAGCAGAAAGCACUGUUACAUUUAUUCUCUUAAUUUUGCAUGCCAUGAAAGUCAGGGGGUUUAUAAUACUUAGAUUGCACUGCUAUUUGAGUGAGAAAAAAAUUUGAAGUUUUAUUUUGGGAAAAAAAGUUAUAGAAGUUUUAUACAACUCACAUGACUUUAUUUGGAGAGCAUGAAGAUACCAGGUAACAUACUUUUACAGAUUUUUUAUGCCACCUUCAUCAAAGAAUGUCUUCAGUGACAAAUGUUGAUAUUUGGUUAUCCAUAACUGAAUUAUGCUUUCACAUGUGCUCGUUUGGCUUGGACCUUAUUUCAUUUGUAGGCUCCAACUAUAGUUCACUAAGUCAGCUUUAUCAAUUUCAGGGAAAUUUGUGCUGCCCUAUUAGCUUGACUUUCAGGGACUGUGAUGGAGGUCUCUCAGAGAAUAGUAUCGUAAUGGACAGUAGGUUAAGUUCGUAGGAUCAUCAAGGUAAGUGGCACAUACAUCUUCUAAUGUAAGUGAGCAUAGUUAUCUCACCGACUAAUGAAAUUUGUAAUGUUCUACUGAUUAGCCGUUUACCUGAAACUAGGAUGCUUUCUAAGUCUGUAGUUAGUGGGUCCUCUUGUUUGGCCGCGGUGGUGGAUAAAGGUACUGAUAAUUGUUUUGUACUACCAGACACCAUGCCGUCUCGCAACAUGCAGUUUCUUCUAGGAAAGGGCUUUAGUUACAUCCAAGUGAUCGAAGCCUACAACAUAUUUGGCAAGGUCGUGAACUUAUGAUCUGCUACCUGGUUGCGGUGGGAGUCGCUAGAGUUAGCAAUCCCUGGAAAGGAAAUGCUGCUGGGUGAUGCAUGCACCUUUCUUGAGGUGGCAGAGAAAGAGUUCAUUAUACAGGAAUCAUACAAAAUAAUGAUAUAGCCUUUGUGAGUUGAGAUACCAAUGUAAGGCGUCAUUGUUGAGAGAAAAUUAUGAAUAAAAUAUACUCUCAAAAUUUGCUACCUUAUAUGCGACCCGGUGUCUAAAUGGUUGUUGUAGAUCUGUUGAAAACACAAACGCAUCUGGAAAAACAGGAAAAUAGCAGAUUUCAUAAUCGAGUGUAUAGGAUUAAAUGAAGAUGAAUAUAUAAUACAUGUACUGCAAUAAGCAAAGCAUGUGCAAAAGUGAAAUUAGGAUGUAUGGAGAUAUUAUGUUCAAUAAAUGCUUUGGCUUGAAUACUAUCUCCUUAUUUUCCUUUUGUUUAUGUCCAUAAAGGUUUUAGUAGUUAUUUUAAUUAAUAAAAUUAUCUUCUGUAAAAUUAAUCUAAGUUAGUGUGUGGUUGUUAGAGGGUUAAAAUAAAAGAUUAGGAGAAUAUUUUUUGUUAAGGGAUUUCUUUCUGCAUGGAUUAGCUUAAUCCUAUGUCGGGAGUUGUUUUAUGAGGUGAACUAUCGGCUCUCAUGUUAUGCUUUACUCAGUUUAGUUAAGAUAUCCGACAUCUAAAAUAUUUUUAAUUGGUAUUUUUGGCCUAUUAUAUGAAAGUGUUAUGCAUUUUAUUUAUCUUCCAGCGAUAGUAUCUUCAUCCUU